rnacentral:rRNA from 1 species
GGAGGGUGCUUGCACCCGAGUGUUCGAGUGGCGAACGGGUGAGUAACGCGUGAAUGAUCUGUCUUGGACUAGCGGAUAACAGCAAGAAAUUGUUGCUAAUACGCUAUAAGACCACGCUGCCGCAUGGCAGAGGGGUCAAAGGAGCAAUCCGGUCUGAGGUGAGUUCGCGUCCCAUUAGAUAGUAGGCGGGGUAAUGGCCCACCUAGUCAACGAUGGGUAGCCGACCUGAGAGGGUGAUCGGCCACACUGGGACUGAGACACGGCCCAGACUCCUACGGGAGGCAGCAGUGGGGAAUAUUGGGCAAUGGGCGAAAGCCUUACCCAGCAACGCCGCGUGAGAGAAGAAGGUUCUCGGAUUGUAAAUCUCUGUCCUUGGGGAAGAAAAAAAUGACGGUACCCAAGGAGGAAGCCCCGGCUAACUACGUGCCAGCAGCCGCGGUAAGACGUAGGGGGCGAGCGUUGUCCGGAAUUACUGGGCGUAAAGGGCGCGUAGGCGGCCCGAAAAGUCAGGCGUGAAAGCCCCAUUUUCAAGGUGGGGAGUGCGUUUGAAACUGACGGGCUUGAGUGCAGGAGAGGAAAGCGGAAUUCCAAGUGUAGCGGUGAAAUGCGUAGAGAUUUGGAGGAACACCAGUGGCGAA